CUCAUCGUCCAUAGUUCAUCAGAAUUAUUCCAUUCGUCACGAUAUCAAUCAUGCUACUGUAAUUAUUUAUAUCAUCGCAUUCGUUUCAAACGAUUUUAACAAUUUGAAUUUAUCCGUGAAUGACGUUUAGACUUUUUACUCGAAAUGAAUAUAAUUAUGUUAGUGUGACGAUUUAUGUCGUGAAACCGACAACGACUACGGAUCCACCAAAGUGUCUCGAAAUCAACCGACGGCCCACAACGGCCGACCGUGCAACGGGGCAGAAGAGCUGAUGUUUUGGAUUCUUUCGGGUCGAUAGAAAAUCCGAUAAAUCAGUUUGUAAAAUAUGGAAGAAAUACGUUCAUAUAAUAUUCGUCAUCGACGACCAUUCAAAGCAAUAAUUCUUAUUUGAGUUGCCGAGAACGUAACACGAGCUAUGGUUACUUUGAUGUUACUAAUUUAAAAUGCGUACCGUGUGUUUCACAUACCUAUGUGGACGUUCUUCAGUUUUGAGGAGGACAAAUAUCACACGCCUACAGGUUGUACCUACCCAUACAUUUGAAAUCUUCGCCUUCCAUAGGUAGGUACCAUUAGUCUUAUGAGACCACCGCGUACUCGGAAGCCUUGAGUUUAUUAUACGUCACAAGUCGACAGAUCCAUAAGAUUCUAGUUAAUUAUUGGGAGAAGAUAUUGAUGGCAAUGAGAAAUGUGUUGUGAGUAUUAUUCGCGCAGAUUGCUAUUCUUCCAUCACUGAAUACGAUACAAAACCAUUAUUCAUCGCAGUAAUGAAACUCAUACCAAAUGAAUGACAAGUUUGUACGAACCAUUUUACUGCGUGGGAGGUACCCUAAAUUGUUCAACAGUUGUUUUCCCGACGAACCUUACACAGCACUACAAAUUUGGCCGAAGUUUCUCGUGGUUGACACACACCAGAAAAACGACAUUGGAUCAACGUUCGUGGGAGAUCGCUAGCAGUCGAAGAUUAUAUUUUGAGAGACGUACACUCCGAAGACAAUCGGACAGGUUAUAGUAAAUUUUGGUACGAACAUUAUAAAGACGACCGUCUGUACUCAAUAUUAUGUACGUGCAGAUCAAUAUUAUAGUGGUAAUAAUAUAAGAUCACGGGUUGUAAAUAUUCUUAAGUAGGUACAUAAAAAAAAAAAAAACAAAAAAAAAAAUGCGACCGUUCGAAUUAAAAGUGUCUGAAUAGUGAGUUAUAUGUAAGGUCACGUAAGGUGCUCGUCUUAAAACAGUAGUUGAAGUAGGCCGGACGUAAUCUGUGCGAUUCCAAGCACACGUGCACAGCAGGUGUCGUUCAAAGUCGGUGAAGUUAUUUAAAAAAAAAUAACUCAAGUCACUGUACUACGAUUUACAGAUGAUUACUGACGCGUCGUUUAUGUCGCGCUCGACGGAUUUGCUCAGGUAUAGACGGAACACCGGAACGUAGAGUACGAUAACAUAAAUCGUUGGCGUGGCCGAUCAGUCGAGUUCGAAUCGCGAAACAGAGACAACAGUCGUCUCUACGUUUUUGAAUUGUUGAGUGACACAACAAUUCAAUAUUGUUUCAACUCGUACUCUUGCGAUAUUCAAUACACUGCCCCCGAGAACAGGGUUACUCGGGUGAUAGUGUACCGUAUAAUACGUAUUAUUAUUUAUCACCAUUCAGAUGUUUGAUAGACCUCUUAUGCGUCGCUGCACAGUGUUCGAUUGCGUUAGCUUACGAACGCAGGUCAUUCAGUUUCUAGGACCUGUAAAAUAUAACUUAGAAAACUUUAUUCGUACAAAUUCAACAACCCGGUUCGGAAGAUCGGUUAUUCGUGUAGUGGGAAUAACCAUAACCACCCACUCCUUAACUGGGUGGAAUUAGGUAUGAAUUACGACAGCCACUUAAGGUUAAAUAAACGAGGUAGGCGUGUCGCAUUACACAGUGUAACGUGGUCAGGGGAACCUUGUUACAAUAAUAGUUAUCCAGAGGAGGUUUUCUAUUCUUCAUAUGGAUAAGUUUUCCGUAGCUGGGGGUUAGAGCCGUGUAUGAGGUAUUAUUUCAUCAAUAACAAUCAGAGACGUUUGGUUUAAAGUUCAGUACACAAAUAAAUAGACAAUUAUUAAAUUAAGCACUUUUAUUAAAAUAUUUACGUAAAGUGGUAGUCGAGUCACACGACCACCGCUAACUGACCAUCUUCCUGUUUUAACAACUGACUUAUAUACACAUCUUAAAUUUUGAUGAAUAAUGUAAAAAUUAUUGAAUAAUUCGUUUACAAAAUAAAUGUCUUCUUAACCUAGUUUUUACAUACUAAAAUUUCUUUUUACUGCAUCUUGCAUAAUUUAUAUUAUUGUUAUCCUAGCCUACUUGUAUGAUUUUUUUGUUGUUUAAUUUUAUUUGUUAUGAUAUUUCUUAUUACCUAUAAUUGUUUACUUAACCUAAUUUUUAAGUAGUAACAAUUAAAAGCUUAUUACAACAGCACAUAGGUAUAAUAUAUGACAGAUAUGUGAAUAUAAAUGGGAUCCGGCCUGUAGAUGAUGACGUGCCGCGAGUGUGGAUCGUCGAUGGGGCCGUCGGAUCGUCGCGGAGUCGACGUUGCUGUUGUCGUUGUGUCGCACACACCCUCCUCACACACCGCCGCGGUCAUAAUAUUAUAUACACCGCUGCCGUGUGCCUAAAACCCUUGGUCAGCAGUCAGCUGCGAUCCCAUUCCUCACACUAAGCAUAUUAGGCAGCUGGUGCCCUACUUCAGGAAUGAUGUACGAUGCCGAUAGACGGCAAUCGUUACAAUAUCAAAUCGACAACUGUCUGCGACACGGGACAGUCCCCGUCGCUUUUUUUUUUUUUUUUUAAUACCCUCAUUUUCAAGGCUAUUUACGCAUCAGAAUUAUCGCGUGCUUUUGAUUCCAAGAAAAAGAAAGGAAAAUUAAAGUAGCCAUAUAAUGACAGAUAAUCUUUGUCAGGGGUUUGUCGGAUGUUGAGUUUGGACGAAGUCACAAUUUUUUCAAAACCUUCCCCGAUCUUUUCGUCAAUUAUCCGAUUUGUUACUGUUUCUAAUUCUUUUUUUUAUUUCUGCGGUAUUUGUUUAUGUUAAGCGGGUUUUCAUUAUUUUUCAGUUUUUUGCGAGUUGAAUUAAACCCUUUUUUUUAUUGAUUUCUUCAGCUUUUCAAUAGUAUUUAUUUGGUCGUCUGCACAUCUUGGCGUGGUAAGUAAAACUGUAGGUACUACUUUUCAGUAUUUCUACCGUUUUCGAAUCGAGUUACUUCUUAUACAACGAAACAGUGUUCAUUUUACCUUUUCUAAAAUCAAUUAUGUUGUUUUUUUUUUAUAUUUAUUUUUUAUUUAAUAGUAAUAAUUGACAAUAUGAAUAAGUCUGAUGAUAUAAUACCCAUAUAAUUUUUAAAUUGACCAAUCGUUGAUCACCACUAUUUACUACACCACUAUGGUCGUACUUCGCCCAUCUUCUGUAUCUGAAACUUAACUUUUAGGUUAACAUUUUACAUAUAUUCUUAUGGCUUAUACUGAAAAAAAAAUUAAGUACAUGUAUGAUUAUUUAAUAAUAUUACACUAUCCUAAAACACCAAUAAUUCCAAGGCGUUUGUUAAUUAUUACCAUUAUUUUUUUGUAUAAUUGUUCAUAUUAGUCGUGUGUCAUGUUACCAAAUAUUAAUUUGAUAUUUUAUCGUUGAAGUCUUUGAAAUUGUGAUGCAAUGUGAUUGCUCGUGUAUUAAAUUUCGGUUGACUAGAGAAACAAAAAAAUAAUAAUAUUAUUAAUGCAAUAAAAGCGAUUUCCUUAUAUUUAUACUAUUAUACUAUAACUACUACAUGUCCAAAAUGUAUAUUUAUAUUGAUAAGUAAUAAAUUAAUAUAGAAAUAUAACACUACCUACUCGUUUUUCUUACUUAUGUUAUUUCUUUAUUUCCCCGACUUUUAAAUUGAUUUAGUUGGCUAACAUGUUUAUUAUCGUUUACGAACUGUCCAUUUUUAGUUAUUUCCACUACGCACGUAACCUCUGAUAUUUGUCGUACAAUCUCGAAUGGUCCCCCAUAUCUAUACGCAAGUGUCGAUCCUUUAUUUUCUGUCUUUACUAAUACUUUUUCACCUACCACAAAUCUGAUUUGUUUUUUUGGGUGGGUGAGUCAUAAUGUUUUUUAUUCUUUAGAAACUUUUCCUCCGGUAAUUUCGGUACGCCUCUUAAACGCUGCACCUUGGCUGGUUCAAUAACAAUUUAACUCGCCCUGAUUGAAUAAACGCGUCUUGUUUGAAUUAAUGGUUCUUUUGAUCCGCUGCCACCAAUGUUACAAGUCGGUUGACCGUAGCCUCGUACUUGUAGAGUUUGUAUAUAGAUUUAGUAAAUAAAGUAACAAACACACGUUUAAUAUUCAAUUCAUAAAGUUUAUUGCGUUCUGAACAUAUACAGACAAUGGCACUAUCUCCAUUCUCCACUGACUGUCUUACCAUCUUAAUGUUCCUUAUAUCUAAACUUAUGUAGGACAAUCCCUCCUAUAUAAAAAGUGCUUAUUCGCAGUUUCGGGAUUGUACCUGUUUACACUAAUUCACAAUAAUCAUUUCAUUUCGUAAUUCUAAAUGUUUUAUAAAUACUACAUUUCUAAUUUUUUUUGUCGUAUACGCCACGCAAAGGCUUGACGUAUAUAACAGAUAUGUUUCGGUUUCCGAUUCUCUAACCGUCAAACAAGUAAAUUAUCGAUACCUGCUGUAUGAACUUUAUUUAAAUUAUUCUUUUGGUGACCACGAUGACGAGUACUGCACAAAAGAUAAUUAAACGAGGUCCAAACAGGUUUUACACAAUACAACUCUAAAGUUACUUUACUCUCUAACAACUGACCACGAUAACGAGUACUGGAUGUUUGAGAGUGAGAUAUCUUUAACCUAGGCAAAGUCUUACUCUUUCUCGACUGACCACGAUAACGAGUACUGGACGAGAAAGUAAGUAUUACAGUGUCUUACUAUCUUUUUCAAAAGUGUUUUCCACCACCGACGUCUCUUUAGACGUUUUCAAGAUAAAAUACUCUAAAAUAGUCGUAAAGAAAAACAGUAACACUUGGUUAAAAGAAUUAAAUAUAAUAUAUAAAAGAAUAUCAAAAAAAACAAAUAAUAAAAAAGAAACGUCAAAUACUGCUCGUUAGCCACGACAAUGCGUGAACCAAAAACUGAACAGCCCCGCUCCCGUCGCCUUAUGUAGUCGUAGCAAUUUUGCUGAUUCGGCUUGAUUAAAUUUCGCAUCAUUGUUUUGAUUUUUAUAAUUUUAUUAUGUAUAUGUACAACAGUUUACUAACUGCUACAUCCUUACUUACCUAUGUUUAAUAAUAUCAGUUCAUAACAAUACACACAAAAAUUUAUUUUACUUUAACUUGUAAAAACUUCAAAAAAAAAUCGCUUUUCUGGUUACAACGCCCGAAAAAAAUGUGUACAAUUAUUGUACACAAAAACAAAUAAAAAAACUGAGAAAAAUCUAAUAGCGCCAAGGUUGAGGUACCAGGGCGCACACACAAAAAAAAAUAAAUAAAUAAAAGUGUCUCCGAUCGUGAUUCGAACUACGUUGGGCGCCACUGUCGUAUACGCACUUUUCAAGUGAUAUACCGGAUUCUAGGAGUACGGCAAAUCGCGUGACUACUCAAACAAUAAAACAAAUAAUUUUUCGGGUCGGAAACACUUUAAUUAUUUUUUAAAAACUAAAUGAACAAAAGGUUGCCCGUACAGCAAUCGUCGCCUCUUCCGUGUGCACGUCGAUGGCACGCUCUCGACAACACACCCGGCGACGACGGGGACUCCUCGUUCCUGCCCGUGCGACAGUCUUAUAAUAUCUAAGUAAUUCUUGUCACCUCAGCACAUUUAGCUUCCCAGGCUUGACCUAUCCUGAUAUCUUAAUUGCUAAAAAUAUUCCCACCCAAGAAAAAUAAUUAUGCCGACGACUGUCGACAAUAUACGACACUAAGCAAAGUACACGACGAACGUAUAUAUAAUGUAUUGGUUAUUAAAUAUUAAUGUAUAAACGUAAUAUAUUUAUGUUUAAGUAAUAGCGUAUUAGCUUUGUAAAUACUAUUGUGGAAACAACUGUAUUUACAUUCAUUAUUUUUGAUUCCGGCUUCAUCGCACACCUCCAGCAUGUUGCCAAUUGUCGUGAUUAUUUUGUAUUCCAAUUGAAUCGUAUGGCAUAUACAUAUAUGUCACAGAUCAUACCCCUUCUGUUUUAUUAUUUUCGUAGAAUUAUUCAAUUUAGAUUUUUAUAUAUUUCAAGUCUGAAAGACGAGCGAGUGGUGUGAAAAAUGUUGACCUAGGUAUGUUUGUAUGUUAAUUUAUUGUCGUGUGGUAUUACACUAUUAGUAUUAAUGUUGUCAUUAUUAUAAUACAACCGUAAUGCAUUAAAUCGUAUUAUUACGGUUAGCAUUGUCAUUGUUUUUAGGUAGUGAUGGUUUCAUUAUAAUGUGUCGUAAAGGCUUGACGUAUAUACGUAUAACAGAUAUAUUACGGUUUCCGAUUGUCUAACCGUCGAACGAGUAAAUUAUCGACACCUGCUGUAUGAGUUUUAUUUAAGUUCUCCUUUUGGUGACCACGAUAACGAGUACCGCGCAAAAGGAUAAUUAAA